rnacentral:lncRNA from 1 species
GUGCACUUGGUUGAGAAGGAAACAUGAAUGAAUUAUUUAUAUCACUCUCCAGAAUGACAUGUUGCCUAUGUUGUUUGUUCAUAAAGUUGUGAAAGAAUGGGAUCUGAUGGAUUUGUCAAGCACGGUGGAGGUGAAGUUUCCAGAGAUUCAGAACGACUCGUGGUUCAACGCCACCGCUAUGUCGGAUGAGUGCAGGAAUGCAUGUGAUACGGAAAUGGUGAAAGAGCAUCACUGAUAAGUUGGAUGAGUGCGGGAGUGCAAGAAUAAUGAAUCUAUAGUCGGCUUUCAUACGAGUUUGGAAUGGACAAAUUGCUAUGUUGAGCUGAGCUGCUUGAUUACCAGAAAGUGAAGCAGAAAUGGGGAAAAAGAAUCCCAGGCUCUGAGUGAAAUCAUGAUAAUGGUAACUCCUGGACUUCAAGGCGUGCAAAAAACUUCAAACCAUGCUAUAGGAUCAGAACAUUAAGGAUAUUCCAAACUUUUCUUAUAGUAGUAGAUUGAGGGACUUUUGUGCUCUAAUUUAUAGACUUGCGGAAGAACCUGGACCGAACCUGUCUUGUCGGUUAAAAUUGGAAACAUAAUUUCUUUCAGUGUUUUACGGUCUCCUCUUCCGAAUAUUUCAGUUUGUGCUUAGGAUAAACUCGUGUUUUGCACAAUGAGCCUGUAAACUUUGCAUACCAACACGAAAAUCGUCAUUAACAGGUCCAUUGAAUGAGACCCAACAAAAGUAGAGAAAGGGGAUCGAAUUGGAUACUCCUCAAUACAUGUGGUUCCUUCUCCUUACCUGCAGAAGAAGGAAAAAAACAACUUCCAUAGGGUCCGUCCAGAAGAAAUAACAGAUCACAAGACGACUGGUAACAGAGGUGAGCUAAAAAAAGUAUCACUCAGGGCUUGGGGAUUGAAGAAUUGAAAUCUUUCAUAGCAUAUUCGUGUGAUCUUUUGGUAUUUAUAGUAUCUUUCUUGAAUCUCCGAAUUGCCAUUCACAUGUAGAAUUUGGCUAAGGGAAAUCAGCAUAUCAAGUCUUUUACGUCACAGAAAUUCAUUCUCAAGGUCCCAUCAUUCCCUUCUAGGACCCAUUUCAAAUCCGUACGCAAUAUUAUAUCCAAUUUCACCUUUCACUUGAAACGGGGACUUCGAGAUAGCAACCUGAAGUAGGCAGAAGGACAAACACUCAACAUGGUUUCCAUGCAGCAACCAACCACCAUGUACCUACACUCGAAAUUACACAAGGGGCUAUGGAAUAUUGCCAAUACAUCAGGAAAAUCAAUUUUGACAUCACAAACUCACGUGCAAUUCACUAGCCAGAGUGUUGCUCGCAUAUAAGUUACUUUUUAUCAACACUUUAUCAUGACAGACCGCAUGGAAGAAUCACAUUGCAAAUACUUGGCAACUCAUUAGCUUCCAUGAUAAUACUUGUUCUUGUCCUUUCAGAAAGACCUGCGAUUCCACAAUCUGAUUGCUCUAGAAGGGCAAAUAUGAUUCACUAAUGCCUAUUUUGUUUCUUCCCUAAAUCGUCCUUUAAAUACCAACACGGCCUUUGGCAAGCACAUCACAGUCACUAAUGACAUAAAGCUUGUGCUACUCGCUUGCUCAAUUCAUGCAACUGCCCACCAAAAACAUUUCUCGGUAGCACCACUUAACUUGCAACAAAAUAUCACCAUUUGAAUACAAUUUGAAAAAGUAGCAGAGAUUCUAGCAGACAUAUACUAGAGUUGCAGCAGUUAGCUUCAAAUACCAACAAAUUACGAAGAAGAUUAAGGGAUUAAUUCCCACCAACAACAAAGCUACUUCAAACAGUAACUCAUGAGAAGUCUCUAGAAAACAAAUGUUCUUGAAGCCAACAAACAAAAACGGAUAUAAAUGAUCAUACAAGGCAAUUUGGCAACUCAAGAACAAACGUGUUCCUAUUCUGAGAGAGAGAUAUACAAUGACUUUAAGGUUGCAGACAGUAUAGUUCCCUACUAGGACCCGUUUGAAAUGCUUAUUCAAGAUUUUUUCCCUUUCUUCAUUUCACUUGUUACAAGGACUUCUAGAUGACAGCCAAUACAUUUGAAACAUAAAUUUUAAGACAUCACUGAUAAAUUUGGAAUAGGCACAAGGUCAAACAGUCUACACAGUUCACUUCUACAACCCCUUACAAAUGUCUUCUCACCAUUAUUACAUAUUGACACUUGACCGGACCACCCAUAAAUAGUUAUUCCAACAAAGCCAGAAGGGCACUAUGACUAUGAAAGUCCCUUCUAGGACCUUCAACUGUGAAGUUCCAGGACUAUAACAACAUGAUUAGGCAGCCAAUACAAGGACUUCUAGAUGACAGCCAAGACAUUUGAAACACGACUUUUAAGACAUCACUGAUAAACUUGGGAUAGGCACAAGGUCCAAACAGUCUACACAGUUCCCUUCUACAGCCCCUUACAAAUGUCUUCUCACCAUUAUUACAUAUUGACACUUGACCGAACCACCCAUAACCCGAGUUAUUCCAACAAAGGCAGAAGGGCACUAUGACUAUGAAAGUCCCUUCUAGGACCUUCAACUGUUAAGUUCUAGAACUAUAACAACAUGAUUAGGCAGAAAGGCAAAUCAAGCUAGUCAUGUUCCCUAUCUAGGGCCAAUUAUGAAUAAAAGCUUAAUCAGAGUGUAACUCAAUUGAUUCCUUGGCAGAAGGGCACUCAAACUAUGAAAAGUCCCUUCUAGGACCUUCAAUAGUUAAUUUUCAGAACUGCAUCAUCAUGAAUAGGCAAAAAGCGUAUCAAGCUAGGCAUGUUCCCUUUCUAGGACCUAAUAUGAAAGCAACAUUAAUCGGAUGUAACCAAUUGAUUGCUCUAAGAUUAGGGACACUUCCAAAAAAGGCAGAAGGGCACGAUGUACGAAAAGUCCCUUCUAGGACCUUCAACUAUUAAGUUCUGGAACUGUAGCAACGUGAGUAGGCAAAAAGGCAAAUCAAGCUAGGCAUGUUCCCUUUCUAGGACCUAAUAUGAAUGCAAACUUAAUUGAAAUAUGUAACCAAUUGAAUACUCAUAAGAUCGGGGACGGUUCCAACAAAGGCAGAAGGGCGGCUUCAACUGUCAAGUUCCAAAAUUGCAGCAACAUGAAUAGGCAAAAAGGCAAAUCAAGCUAGACAUGUCCCCUUUCUAGGACCUAAUAUAAAUGCACGCUUAAUCGAGUCAUAAGUGAUUCAUAGCUUAUAAGAUCAGAGACGAUUCCAACAAAGGCAAAAGGGAAAAAUUACUAUGAAAAGUUCCUUCUAGGACCUUGAACUGUAAAGUUCCGUAACUGCGGCAACACAAAUAGGCAGAAAGGCAAAUCAAGCUAGGCAUAUUCCCUUUCUAGGACCUAAUAUAAAUGCAUGCUUAAUUGGAAUGUAACCAAUUAAUUGCUUGUAAGAUCGGGGACGAUUCCAACAAAGACAAAAGGGCACGAUGACUAUGACAAGUCCCUUCUAAGACAAUCAACUGUUGAGUUCCAGAACUGCAGCAACAUGAAUAGGCAGAAAGGCAAAUCAAGCUAGGCAUGCUCCCUUUCUAGGACCUAAUAUGAAUGCAAGCUUAAUCAGAAUACGUAACCAAUUGAUCGCUUACAAGAUCGGAGACGAUUCCAACCAAGGCAGAAGGGCACAAUGACUAUGAAAAGUCCCUUAUAGGACCUUCAACUGUAAAGUUUCAGAACUGCAGCAAAAUGAAUAGGCAGAAAGGCAAAUCAAGCUAGGAAUGUUCCCUUUCUAGGACCUAAUAUAAAUGCAUGCUUAAUUGGAAUGUAACCAAUUGAUUGCUUGUAAGAUCAGGGACCGUUCCAACAGAGGCAGAAGGGCACUAUGACUAUGAAAGUCCCUUCUAGGACCUUCAACUAUAAAGUUUGAGAACUGCAGCAACAUGAAUACGCAGAAAGGAAAAUCAAGCUAGGCAUCUUUCCUUUCUAAAACCUGAUAUGGAUGCAAGCUUGAUUAAUAUGUUACCAAUUGAUUGCUUAUAAGAUCAGGGAUGGUUCUGAGGACAUAAACACCAACUGAACAUAAAUAAGAGAGGUUUUCUUCAACAAAAUUGUUUGUACCAUCCAAAAUGAAAUGUGUAUCUCAACAUUCCUAUCUUACGUCAUUGGGAAAAAAGGCAGGCAAAAUUAGCAUACUUUAGCACAGUUUCACUAUAGAGAUUCCACAAGUGCUCAUUGUUUCCAAGAUUUGAAACUACAUAUCCAAUUUCGACUUACUUUCACAAUUAUCGCCACUAGGUAAGAAAAUAUACCGGCAAUGACUAGUGGGUGCAGAAUUUUGAAACCCGUAUCAUAUCAUAUCAUAUACGGCAUACCAAACACUAUAAUAUCAAACGGAUAUGGAAAACCCCUCUUUAAGGCGAUAUCUUCUUUUCAGUGCAGAAUAAGAUUCAGAUUUUCAUAAUUCCAAUUAGUACAAAAAGCUUAUCCAUCGGAAGAAUCAUUUUUGUCAAAAUUAUCGGACGGAGAAGGCAUCGGACAACAAUGAAACCCAAAACCCACAAGAAUGUAGGAGAAUAGUUAGCCCAUACGAAGAUAAAACCCACGAGAUCAAACCCUUGGACACCAGAAGGACAAACCUUCGCCGUCAACAUAUCAACGGUGGGGGAAUGACGGGGAACGUUAUUCACCACCGCAAAGACACUUUGGUUGGAUCAAAUUAGAAGAAUAAAGAAGCCGCAUAUUGUGGAAACGCGGAGAAUUCGCAAUCACAAAAACCGUAGUUGCAUCUGUAGUCAGGGUUGGAAGAAAAUCGAUCUUUAAGCCACUAUCUUCCUUUUUGUUCAGAAAAAAGACUCAGAUUACCAUAAUUCCAAUUAGUAAAAGAGCUAAUCCAUCGGAAGAAUAAUUUUCGUUGAAUUAUCGGAUGGAGAAGGCAUCGAUCGGACGACAAUGAAACCCAUAAACCCACAAGAAUGAAGGAGAAAGAAAGAUAGUUAGGCCCUUACCGAGUUAAAACCCACAAGAUCGAACCCUUGGACACCAGAAGGGCAAACCUUGGCCGUCAACAUAUCAACGGUGGGGGACGACGGGGAACGCUAUUCAACACCGCAAAGACACUUUUGGCCGAUCCAAUUAGAAGAAUAAAGAAGCCGCAUAUUGUCGGAACGCAGAGAAUACGAGGCCUCAAAACCGCAGUUGCUUCUGUGCAGGGUUGAUAGAAAAUUACCGCAACUAUCCAAUGCGGACUACGCCCUACUUUUCGA